rnacentral:rRNA from 1 species
GAACGCUGGCGGCGUGCUUUACACAUGCAAGUCGAGCGAUGAGAUCCCUUCGGGGAAGGAUUAGCGGCGAACGGGUGAGGAACACGUGAGGAAUCUGCCUUCAACACUGGGAUAACUCCGGGAAACCGGGGCUAAUACCGGAUACGAGACCUGCAGGCAUCUGCGGGUCUGGAAAGUUUUUCGGUUGAAGAUGACCUCGCGGCCUAUCAGCUUGUUGGUGAGGUAAUGGCUCACCAAGGCGACGACGGGUAGCCGGCCUGAGAGGGCGACCGGCCACACUGGGACUGAGACACGGCCCAGACUCCUACGGGAGGCAGCAGUGGGGAAUAUUGGGCAAUGGAGGAAACUCUGACCCAGCGACGCCGCGUGCGGGAUGAAGGCCUUCGGGUUGUAAACCGCUUUCAGCAAGGAAGAAGCGAAAGUGACGGUACUUGCAGAAGAAGCACCGGCUAACUAUGUGCCAGCAGCCGCGGUAAUACAUAGGGUGCAAGCGUUGUCCGGAAUUAUUGGGCGUAAAGAGCUUCGUAGGUGGUUCGUCACGUCGGAUGUGAAAAUCUGGGGCUUAACCCCAGACCUGCAUUCGAUACGGGCCGAGCUAGAGUGUGGUAGGGGAAGACUGGAAUUCCUGGUGUAACCGUGGAAUGCCGCAGAUAUCACG